rnacentral:rRNA from 1 species
GGCGGGCGUGGCCUAAUACAUGCAAGUCGAACGGUCUUUCUAUGGAAGCUUGCUUCCACUGAGAAGAUAGUGGCGAACGGGUGAGUAACACGUGGGUAACCUGCCCAUAAGAGGGGGGAUAACAUCCGGAAACGGGUGCUAAUACCGCAUAGUUUUCUUGAUCGCAUGAUCGGAAAGGAAAGACGGCCUUUGUGCUGUCGCCUAUGGAUGGACCCGCGGCGUAUUAGUUAGUUGGUGAGGUAACGGCUCACCAAGACGAUGAUACGUAGCCGACCUGAGAGGGUGAUCGGCCACAUUGGGACUGAGACACGGCCCAAACUCCUACGGGAGGCAGCAGUAGGGAAUCUUCCGCAAUGGACGAAAGUCUGACGGAGCAACGCCGCGUGAGUGAAGAAAAGGUUUUCGGAUCGUAAAACUCUGUUGUCAGAGAAGAACAAGUUGGAGAGUAACUGCUCCAGCCUUGACGGUAUCUGACCAGAAAGCCACGGCUAACUACGUGCCAGCAGCGGC